rnacentral:piRNA from 1 species
UGGGCAUCGCUACCGGUGGAUAAACACAGA